GUGGGGAAUAUUGGACAAUGGGCGCAAGCCUGAUCCAGCAAUGCCGCGUGCAGGAAGAAGGCCUUCGGGUUGUAAACUGCUUUUGUACGGAACGAAACGGUCCUGGUUAAUACCUGGGGCUAAUGACGGUACCUGCAGAAUAAGCACCGGCUAACUACGUGCCAGCAGCCGCGGUAAGACGUAGGGUGCAAGCGUUAAUCGGAAUUACUGGGCGUAAAGCGUGCGCAGGCGGUUUUGUAAGACAGGUGUGAAAUCCCCGGGCUCAACCUGGGAACUGCACUUGUGACUGCAAGGCUAGAGUGUGUCAGAGGGAGGUGGAAUUCCGCGUGUAGCAGUGAAAUGCGUAGAGAUGCGGAGGAACACCGAUGGCGAAGGCAGCCUCCUGGGAUAACACUGACGCUCAGGCACGAAAGCGUGGGGAGCAAACAGGAUUAGAUACCCUGGUAGUCC
rnacentral:rRNA from 1 species